CUCGCUUUUAACAGCCGGCACUGCAAGAUAACACCCAUCACCAUCCUGGAGCUUGAAUUGUGCCAUGUACUGCCGGACACUUCUUCAGAAUCCGCCUCCCAAAGGAACUUGGUAUAUUUUCCGGAAGAAGUGAGGCUUCCACCCUGGGAAACAGCGGCUUCAGUUUUGUUGCCUGUUCACCAAUUUAUUGCCGCGUUCAUUGACCGGAUGAAUUUUGACUUGGUUCUCUGCCGUAAUUCUAGCUGCGUAGUUGCAUCACUCGAUUUUAGAGUGCACACAGACGACACCCAGCGACAAGAUCCUAAAAGAUUUAAAC
rnacentral:sRNA from 1 species